AACGAACGCUGGCGGCAUGCCUAACACAUGCAAGUCGAACGCUACCUUCGGGUCCUUUUACCCACUGGUUCAUCAGCGGACGGAACCUUCCCUUAGGUUGAAAAUAACUUCCAGCAGGGGAUACUAUUUCGGAACAAAUGCUACUAACCAAUGAUUUAUCGCAACUCAAUGGGCGCGCGUUAGAUUAGCUAGUUCGUAAGGUAAAAGCCAACCAAGGCUACGUUCCAUAGCUGGUCUGAGAAAAUGUUCCGCCACCCUGGGACUGGGACACGGCCCGGACUCUUACGGGAGGCAGCAGUGGGGAAUAUUGGACGAUGGGCGAGAGCAUGAUCCAGCCGUGCCGCGUGAGUCAGGAAGGCCUUAGGGUUGUAAAGCUGUGUUACCCGGUCUGAUAAUGACAGUACCGAGAGAAUAAGCUCCGGCUAACUACGUG
rnacentral:rRNA from 1 species